rnacentral:lncRNA from 11 species
AGCACAAUUCAUGAAAAUUUUAAUGUUCAGUAAGCAGAAAGAAAAUGAACUGGAAAAACAGGAAGGAGGGCAUAUAAGGGAAAGUACCAUCCCAAGGAUCAUUCAUGUACUGAAGAGCAAUGAUAUUACGGUCUGGUUUGGAAGGAAGUCAAUGGAGG